GACGAACGCUGGCGGCGUGCUUAACACAUGCAAGUCGUACGGAAAGGCCCUUUCUUUGUUGCACGCUCGAGUAGCGAGCGGGUGAGUCAUGAGUGAGCUACCCGCCACUGUCUUAGGGCGAUAUUAAAGUGAUGCGGGUACUUACCGUAUAGGCGUUCCUCAUGGAGGGUGUGGGAUGGCUCGGUUCGGUGGUUGGGGACGCGCUGCCGGUUUACCAGUUUGUUGGUGGGGUAGUGGCUUACCAAGGCUUUGACGGGCGGCCGGCCUGGGGGGGUGACCGGCCACAUUGGGACUGGGAUACGGCCCAGACUCCUACGGGGGGCAGCAGUGGGGAAUAUUGCACAAUGGGCGGAGGCCUGAUGCAGCAACGCCGCGUGCGGGAUAACGGCCUUCGGGUGGUAACCCGCUUUCGCCGGUGACGAAGCGUGAGUGACGGUAAUGGGUAAAGAAGCACCGGCUAACUACGUG
rnacentral:rRNA from 1 species